rnacentral:snoRNA from 1 species
AGGACUAUACUUUCAGGCCUCAUUUCUAUAGUUCAUUACUAAAGAAGUUUCUCCAACUGUGUAGAGCACGUGAGACCAUGAGGAAGAAACAGAGUAUUCUCUCUCAAGCAUGAAGAUGGU